rnacentral:lncRNA from 1 species
UUAUACUAAUUUUACAGACAUAAUAAGUGAAAAUCAUAGUCAAAGUUGUUGCUGACCAGAAAAAGUCAACCGCUCGUUGCAAAAAAGAAAAAGAAAAAGUCAACCGCGCCAUACAUUUUGGGACGUCUCUUGUAUGACACAAGAGAUGGUAACUAAGGUGAGAAGAUAGGAGAUUGAAGGGACCAGAUAAAUAUGGGUGUUCUCCACAGAUGAGUGAAACUUAAUACUCUAGCGUGAAGUAUAGACUCCAGAAUGCAGAUGGAUCACAUAUAAAACUUCUUGCAAAACUUGAUCAUAGAACACAAUAUUCAAGAGUGCAGUAAAGUAUCCC